rnacentral:tRNA from 1 species
GGAGAGGUGCCUGAGCGGCUGAAAGGGGCACCCUGCUAAGGUGUUGUAUCUUAACGGGUACCGAGGGUUCGAAUCCCUCCCUCUCCG